AACUGUGUCCCCUUACUCACAUUUAGUGCACACAAAAUCCUAUCUGAUCUUGGAAGCUAAGCAGGAUUAGCUUUAGUUAGUUCUUAGAUGGUAGACCUCCAGUGAGUACUAGGUAUUGCAGGCU
rnacentral:rRNA from 1 species